rnacentral:rRNA from 1 species
CACGCCGCGUGAGUGAUGAAGGUUUUCGGAUCGUAAAGCUCUGUUGUUAGGGAAGAACAAGUGCCGUUCAAAUAGGGCGGCACCUUGACGGUACCUAACCAGAAAGCCACGGCUAACUACGUGCCAGCAGCCGCGGUAAUACGUAGGUGGCAAGCGUUGUCCGGAAUUAUUGGGCGUAAAGGGCUCGCAGGCGGUUUCUUAAGUCUGAUGUGAAAGCCCCCGGCUCAACCGGGGAGGGUCAUUGGAAACUGGGGAACUUGAGUGCAGAAGAGGAGAGUGGAAUUCCACGUGUAGCGGUGAAAUGCGUAGAGAUGUGGAGGAACACCAGUGGCGAAGGCGACUCUCUGGUCUGUAACUGACGCUGAGGAGCGAAAGCGUGGGGAGCGAACAGGAUUAGAUACCCUGGUAGUCCACGCCGUAAACGAUGAGUGCUAAGUGUUAGGGGGUUUCCGCCCCUUAGUGCUGCAGCUAACGCAUUAAGCACUCC